AUUGAACGCUGGCGGCAUGCUUUACACAUGCAAGUCGAACGGUAACAGGGAGCUUGCUCCGCUGACGAGUGGCGAACGGGUGAGUAAUGCAUCGGAACGUGCCGUGUAGUGGGGGAUAACGUAGCGAAAGUUACGCUAAUACCGCAUACGCCCUGAGGGGGAAAGUGGGGGACCGCAAGGCCUCACGCUAUACGAGCGGCCGAUGUCGGAUUAGCUAGUUGGUAGGGUAAAGGCCUACCAAGGCGACGAUCCGUAGCGGGUCUGAGAGGAUGAUCCGCCACACUGGGACUGAGACACGGCCCAGACUCCUACGGGAGGCAGCAGUGGGGAAUUUUGGACAAUGGGCGCAAGCCUGAUCCAGCCAUGCCGCGUGAGUGAAGAAGGCCUUCGGGUUGUAAAGCUCUUUCAGACGGAAAGAAAUACGGUGUGUCUAAUACACGCACUGGAUGACGGUACCGUAAGAAGAAGCACCGGCUAACUACGUGCCAGCAGCCGAC
rnacentral:rRNA from 1 species